UGGGGAAUAUUGCACAAUGGGGGAAACCCUGAUGCAGCGACGCCGCGUGAGUGAAGAAGUAUUUCGGUACGUAAAGCUCUAUCAGCAGGGAAGAAAAUGACGGUACCUGACUAAGAAGCCCCGGCUAACUACGUGCCAGCAGCCGCGGUAAUACGUAGGGGGCAAGCGUUAUCCGGAUUUACUGGGUGUAAAGGGAGCGUAGACGGCAGCGCAAGUCUGGAGUGAAAUGCCGGGGCCCAACCCCGGAACUGCUUUGGAAACUGUGCAGCUUGAGUGCGGGAGAGGUAAGUGGAAUUCCUAGUGUAGCGGUGAAAUGCGUAGAUAUUAGGAGGAACACCAGUGGCGAAGGCGGCUUACUGGACCGUAACUGACGUUGAGGCUCGAAAGCGUGGGGAGCAAACA
rnacentral:rRNA from 1 species